rnacentral:rRNA from 1 species
AUUGAACGCUGGCGGCAUGCCUUACACAUGCAAGUCGAACGGUAGCACAUUAAGAUCUCGCGUUGAGAACGGGCGAGUGAUGUAUCGGUACGUGCCACAUCGGAGGCGAUAUCUUCUCGGGGGAGAAGCUAGUAAAACAUACGCCAAUAGCGUAAACGCCGGACGUGGCAAAGCCGCGCACGUUCGGACCGUGCGAUAUCAGAUUAGGUAGUUGGUGAGUUAAAGGCUCACCAAGGCGACGAUCUGUAGCUGGUCUGAGAGGACGAGCAGCCACACUGGGACUGAGACACGGUCCAGACUCCUACGGGAGGCAGCAGUGGGGAAUAUUGGACAAUGGGCGCAAGCCUGAUCCAGCCAUGCCGCGUGCGGGAAGAAGGCCUUCGGGUUGUAAACCGCUUUUGUUAGGGAAGAAAAGGUGCUGGCUAAUACCUGGGAGUCAUGACGGUACCUGAAGAAUAAGCACCGGCUAACUACGUG